UUGGAUAGAAGGCGCCCAUGGAGAAUGCACAUCUGACAUCACACCUUCGAGUAUACCAGUAUCAUCAGCAGAGACAGAAGGAAAGUCAUGAAAUGAUAUGAAGCUACAUGGGGACAGACAUCAGCAGACUGAAGCAUUUGAUAGAACAAAUCUACUCCCUCAACACAAUGGCUGAAAAGUAAAAGAUGUGAAAGUGUCUGAAAAGAUACUUUAAGGUAUUUUCAUUGAUUCUUCAUGGCAUAUCUUCCAGUUUCUAAACAAAUAAACCAACUGCAAGUGGA